rnacentral:tRNA from 1 species
GCGUUGCCUAGUGGCUAAGGCGCUUGCUUUGGGAGCAAGANNACAGCCUUCUAAGCUGUGGGUCAGAGGUUCGAAUCCUCUUUGGCGUA